rnacentral:rRNA from 1 species
AUUUUAUAAUUUAUUAUUAUUUCAUAAAUUUUUAGUUUAACUUGGGUUAAUUAUAAUAUUAUUGGGUUGGGGCGACUAUUAUAUAAUUUUAAUAACUGUAUUCUAAAUUAAUAAUUCUGUUUAGUUAAUUGAUCCUUUUUUAAAGAUUAAAAGAUUAAGUU